GACGAACGCUGGCGGCGUGCUUAACACAUGCAAGUCGAACGGAAAGGCCCUGCUUGCAGGGUACUCGAGUGGCGAACGGGUGAGUAACACGUGGGUGAUCUGCCCUGCACUUCGGGAUAAGCUUGGGAAACUGGGUCUAAUACCGGAUAGGAACCAUCUUUAGUGUGGUGGUUGGAAAGUUUUUUCGGUGUAGGAUGAGCUCGCGGCCUAUCAGCUUGUUGGUGGGGUAAUGGCCUACCAAGGCGGCGACGGGUAGCCGGCCUGAGAGGGUGUACGGCCACAUUGGGACUGAGAUACGGCCCAGACUCCUACGGGAGGCAGCAGUGGGGAAUAUUGCACAAUGGGCGCAAGCCUGAUGCAGCGACGCCGCGUGGGGGAUGAAGGCCUUCGGGUUGUAAACUCCUUUCGCUAGGGACGAAGCGUUGUUGUGACGGUACCUAGAGAAGAAGCACCGGCUAACUACGUG
rnacentral:rRNA from 1 species